UACAGAGGUCUCAAGCGUUGUUCGGAUUCAUUGGGCGUAAAGGGUGUGUAGGUGGCGCGCUAAGUCGGGUGUGAAAUUUCGGAGCUUAGCUCCGAAACUGCAUUCGAUACUGGCGUGCUUGAGGACUGGAGAGGAGACUGGAAUUUACGGUGUAGCAGUGAAAUGCGUAGAUAUCGUAAGGAAGACCAGUGGCGAAGGCGGGUCUCUGGACAGUUCCUGACACUGAGACACGAAGGCCAGGGGAGCAAACGGG
rnacentral:rRNA from 1 species